rnacentral:piRNA from 1 species
GAGAAAGACCAAUAUCUUUCCACAGGGC